UUAUAAGGUUAAGUUAAUAAGGGCGCACGGUGGAUGCCUUGGCACUAGAAGCCGAUGAAGGACGUGACUAACGACGAAAUGCCUUGGGGAGCUGUAAGUAAGCAAUGAUCCAGGGAUGUCCGAAUGGGGGAACCCGGCAGGUAAUGCCUGUCACUCACUACUGUUAAGGUAGUGAAGAGGAAGACGCAGUGAACUGAAACAUCUAAGUAGCUGCAGGAAGAGAAAGCAAAAGCGAUUGCCUUAGUAGCGGCGAGCGAAACGGCAGGAGGGCAAACCGAGGAGUUUACUCCUCGGGGUUGUAGGACUGCAAUGUGGACUUAAAGAGUAUAGAAGAACUACCUGGGAAGGUAGGCCAAAGAGAGUAAUAGCCUCGUAUUUAAAAUAUUUUUUAUACCUAGCAGUAUCCUGAGUACGGCGAGACACGCGAAAUCUCGUCGGAAUCCGGGAGGACCAUCUCCCAACCCUAAAUACUCUCUAGUGACCGAUAGUGAACCAGUACCGUGAGGGAAAGGUGAAAAGUACCCCGGAAGGGGAGUGAAAUAGAACCUGAAACCGUGUGCCUACAACAAGUUCGAGCCCGUUAAUGGGUGAGAGCGUGCCUUUUGUAGAAUGAACCGGCGAGUUACGAUAUGAUGCGAGGUUAAGUUGAAGAGACGGAGCCGUAGGGAAACCGAGUCUUAAUAGGGCGGAUUAGUAUUAUGUCGUAGACCCGAAACCAUGUGACCUACCCAUGAGCAGGUUGAAGGUGCGGUAAGACGCACUGGAGGACCGAACCAGGGCACGUUGAAAAGUGCUUGGAUGACUUGUGGGUAGCGGAGAAAUUCCAAACGAACUUGGAGAUAGCUGGUUCUCUCCGAAAUAGCUUUAGGGCUAGCGUCGACAUUUGAGAAUCUUGGAGGUAGAGCACUGUUUGGAUGAGGGGGCCAUCUCGGUUUACUGAUUUCAGAUAAACUCCGAAUGCCAAUGAUUUAUGGUCGGCAGUCAGACUGCGAGUGCUAAGAUCCGUAGUCGAAAGGGAAACAGCCCAGACCACCAGCUAAGGUCCCAAAAUAAUUGUUAAGUGGAAAAGGAUGUGGGGUUGCACAGACAACUAGGAUGUUAGCUUAGAAGCAGCUAUUCAUUCAAAGAGUGCGUAAUAGCUCACUAGUCGAGUGACCCUGCGCCGAAAAUGUACCGGGGCUAAAACAAUUUACCGAAGCUGUGGAUAACACUUUAGUGUUAUGGUAGGAGAGCGUUCUAUGUGUGAAGAAGGUAUACCGUGAGGAGUGCUGGAACGCAUAGAAGUGAGAAUGCCGGUAUGAGUAGCGAAAGAUGGGUGAGAAUCCCAUCCACCGUAAGACUAAGGUUUCCAGGGGAAGGCUCGUCCGCCCUGGGUUAGUCGGGACCUAAGGAGAGACCGAAGGGUGUAUCCGAUGGACAACAGGUUGAUAUUCCUGUACUAGAGUAUGAAGUGAUGGAGGGACGCAGUAGGCUAACUAAAGCGGGCGAUUGGAAGUGCCCGUCUAAGCAGUGAGGUGUGAUAUGAGUCAAAUGCUUGUAUCUGUAACAUUGAGCUGUGAUGGGGAGCGAAGUUAAGUAGCGAAGUUAGUGACGUCACACUGCCGAGAAAAGCUUCUAGCGAUGUAUCAUACUCUACCCGUACCGCAAACCGACACAGGUAGUCGAGGCGAGUAGCCUCAGGUGAGCGAGAGAACUCUCGUUAAGGAACUCGGCAAAAUGACCCCGUAACUUCGGGAGAAGGGGUGCUGGCUUAAAGUCAGCCGCAGUGAAUAGGCCCAAGCAACUGUUUAUCAAAAACACAGCUCUCUGCUAAAUCGUAAGAUGAUGUAUAGGGGGUGACGCCUGCCCGGUGCUGGAAGGUUAAGAGGAGGGUUUAGCGCAAGCGAAGAUCUGAAUUGAAGCCCCAGUAAACGGCGGCCGUAACUAUAACGGUCCUAAGGUAGCGAAAUUCCUUGUCGGGUAAGUUCCG
rnacentral:rRNA from 1 species